GACAAUGGGCGAAAGCCUGAUCCAGCCAUUCCGCGUGAGUGAAGAAGGCCUUCGGGUUGUAAAGCUCUUUCGGCAGGAAAGAAAUCGUUACUCUUAAUACGGGUGAUGGAUGACGGUACCUGAAGAAGAAGCACCGGCUAACUACGUGCCAGCAGCCGCGGUAAUACGUAGGGUGCGAGCGUUAAUCGGAAUUACUGGGCGUAAAGCGUGCGCAGGCGGUUUUGUAAGUCAGAUGUGAAAGCCCCGGGCUUAACCUGGGAACGGCGUUUGAAACUACAAGGCUAGAGUGUGUCAGAGGGGGGUAGAAUUCCACGUGUAGCAGUGAAAUGCGUAGAGAUGUGGAGGAAUACCGAUGGCGAAGGCAGCCCCCUGGGAUAACACUGACGCUCAUGCACGAAAGCGUGGGGAGCAAACAGGAUUAGAUACCCUGGUAGUCCACGCCCUAAACGAUGUCAACUAGUUGUCGGGAGGGUAACCCUCUUGGUAACGCAGCUAACGCGUGAAGUUGACCGCCUGGGGAGUACGGUCGCAAGAUUAAAACUCAAAGGAAUUGACGGA
rnacentral:rRNA from 1 species